UGUCUUUAAGGAAUAAGAAAUCCUUUUUUCGCGUUAUGCGUCGUUUGCGUUAAGCAAUUCGCCUGAAAAAACAGAAAUUUGGGCAACAACAGCUCUUGGUUUUUGCAUCAAGAUAAUGCACCGGCUCACAUUUCACUCGUUCUUCGUAACCAUUUCUCAAAAAAUUCGACGCAUGUUGUUCCGCAACCACCGAACCCGCUUGAUUUGGCUCCGUCUGACUUCUGGCUAUUCUCAAAACUCAAGACACCACUCCGGGGAACGCGUUUCGAGUAGGUUGAGGAGAUACAAACAAAGGCGCUGAUGGCUAUACCGGAACCGUAAGGAACUAUUUGGCACUUUUCGAGGAUUGGUAUUUAAUACGGAGUGCAUUACCUUGAAGUGUGACCGAAGUUUUCAAAGUUCACCCGCAAUGCAUGUAGCCGGGACUUACUGUCAAUCAGCUGGGUUUGUUGCCAAACGGAAAAGAAAUCAAUUGGAGAAAUUUUAAAAGGAGAAGUCUGCUGUUACAC